CUACGGGGCGCAGCAGUGGGGAAUAUUGCACAAUGGGCGCAAGCCUGAUGCAGCCAUGCCGCGUGUAUGAAGAAGGCCUUCGGGUUGUAAAGUACUUUCAGCGGGGAGGAAGGGAGUAAAGUUAAUACCUUUGCUCAUUGACGUUACCCGCAGAAGAAGCACCGGCUAAAUCCGUGCCAGCAGCCGCGGUAAUACGGAGGGUGCAAGCGUUAAUCGGAAUUACUGGGCGUACAGCGCACGCAGGCGGUUUGUUAAGUCAGAUGUGAAAUCCCCGGGCUCAACCUGGGAACUGCAUCUGAUACUGGCAAGCGUGAGUCUCGUAGAGGGGGGUAGAAUUCCAGGUGUAGCGGUGAAAUGCGUAGAGAUCUGGAGGAAUACCGGUGGCGAAGGCGGCCCCCUGGACGAAGACUGACGCUCAGGUGCGAAAGCGUGGGGAGCAAACAGGAUUAGAUACCCCGGUAGUC
rnacentral:rRNA from 1 species